UUGUUGCAGUUAAAUUGGUAAUUAGCUACUUGUAAGAGUACAUACUUUUCUUGCUAAUGUAAAAUGUAAGGAAUAUUUGCAUACUGCAUCUAAAUACAUAUACCACCUUCUAUUCAGUGGUUGUUCUAGUUAACCCUUUUUUACUAUAUUGGCAUAGUAAUGUUGGUCUUCUAUUUGUAAUAUUUUGUGAAAGUAGGCAGUGAGCUGAUGACUUUUUUCAUUAACACAGGAAUGGCUCAUAACUCACAAGAGGCAGAUCUUUGAGUCGUUUAGGUGACCGAGUCAUAGAUGUAGGGUCAGAGUGGAGAACUUUCAGCAAUGAUAAAGCAACAAAAGACCCAUCUCGAGUUGGAGACACCCAGAACCCUCUCUUGAGUGAUGGGGAUUUGACUACAAUGAUUGGCAAGGCACAACUCUAAUAAAGAGGAAGGUGCUUCCAAGAGUCAUCUGACAUAAGCUGUAUGGUACCAGAGAGAUUGGUCUACUCAAGACGAAUUACAAAGUAAUCAUUUUUCCUGCCUUUAGAAGGCAGUUGUUCUUGGACAUCUCGAGCCAUGUUGUUAAUCAGACAUGCAUUGUUUGACAAAGGUGCUGUUUUCAAUUUGGUGUUCCUUUUAACUUCGGAAACCAUCUGUACUGGGCAGGAAUGAUAAGAUUUUUCACAAUGGCCUUAUGCUUAUGUAAAUUGUAGAGACAUGGGGGUGGGGAUUCAUGCAGGGAGUAUGCAUUGACAUUGCCAAUUUGAGAGAAAU